GGCACACACCCAGAGGGAUUCACGUCAGCACUGUAGAGAGAUAGCUGCAUUCCCAUGCUGAUUGUGGCACAACUCCCAACGGCCAAGGUAUGGAAUCAGCCUGGGUGCCUCUCAGGAAUGGUGGUGUUAUACCACAUUGGAGUACUACCCAGCCAUAAAGAGGAAUGAAAUCAGGUCACCGGCAGGAAAAUGAAUGGAACUGGAGACCAUCAUGGGUUAGGUGGCUGGCGAGCUGUGAUGCAAGUUACCCUGGUGGUUAUUGGUAAUCCGGAUGGAGCAGCCAGGAGGGAUCCCACCAAGGAGGCUCUGGGACACCUUUUCCCUAAGGAGACCUGGACCAUGGAUGCCAGUGUGAGAACUGUCACAUCACCAGCACUGCAGCAAAGAGAAAUGGCACACUUACC